rnacentral:rRNA from 1 species
UACGUAGGUGACGAGCGUUAUCCGGAUUUACUGGGCGUAAAGCGCUUGUAGGUGGUUGUGUAAGUUGGAUGUGAAAUCUCCGGGCUUAACUCGGAGAGGCCAUUCAAUACUGCACGGCUAGAGGAUGUCAGAGGAAAGUAGAAUUCCCGGUGUAGUAGUGAAAUGCGUAGAUAUCGGGAGGAAUACCCGUGGCGAAGGCGGCUUUCUGGGACAUUCCUGACACUGAGAAGCGAAAGCUAGGGGAGCAAACAGG